rnacentral:lncRNA from 10 species
UUCUAGGCACUGAGAACACAGCAGUGAUGAAAACAAACAGAAAUAUAUUCUAGUGCAUUUUAGGUUUAGAUAAUAUCAAGAAAGACGACUCUGCAGGAAAGAAAUUGCCGAGAUUUUCUCUUUUUUGCUGUUAGUGGAUUUGGUGGAUGGGUUGGUAGAGGGUGCCAAAAGGCCUUUUAGGACUAAUCUCUGAGAAUGUUGCACGCCCUCAAAUAAACUUAGAAAUCAUGGUCAGAUUCUGUUAUUAGCACCUGAUAAAGUACACCUAUGAUUACCACCUCACACGCUGUCUGGAUAGGCUUAUCAGCUAGGUCUGGAGGAAAAUUGGAUUGGAAUUAAACUGAAUAUUAUAAUGGUAUUUCUCGUAUAUGUGCUGUCCUGAUGAGAUAUUCUUGAUAUUAUUGUGGUUUAGAUCAACCAUCCUAAAAAACAGGAAUCUGCUCCCCACCUGUGAAGCCACCUUCAUCACCCACCCUUCAUUCCCAAGUAUUGAUUAUGGUUUUGUUGUAUAUCUUAUUGCUGGGCAAUUGCAACCAUUCUUUCAAAGUAGGAAGGGAGUAGAUAGUCAUACCUUCUUUGAAGUACAAAAGUCAGUCUACAUGCUUGUCCUGUCAUGUAUUGUCAUUUAACAAACCACCCAAAAUGUAAUGUCUUAAAACAAUAGUCAAUUCAUUAAGUUCAAAGUCUAUAGGUUAGAAUUUUGGCCAGGGCUUAGCUUGCCAAUUCUUCUGCUUCAUGGCAUUGACUGGGGCCACUCAAUCAAUGAAUACAAUGUUCAAGUUAUCUUCAGCUGGUGGCUGUUCGGAUUUGUGGUGGUCCAAGAAGCAUUCUUUAAUGUGUCUAGCAGCUUAGUUGGGUUGGCUGAUGCCUAGGCUCAGCCAGGGCCUUCUUCCUCUCCUGUGGUUUCAGGGCUUCUCCACAUGGCUUCUUUGCAAGAUAGCUGAACUUCUUCCAUGUGGCUCAGGGCUCUAAGAGAGUGUGUUUCCAGAGCCUUCUUUUCAAGGGCCUGUUU